UACGUAGGCAGCAAGCGUUGUUCGGAGUUACUGGGCGUAAAGGGUGUGUAGGCGGUCCCCUAAGUUUGGUGUGAAAUCUCCCGGCUCAACUGGGAGGGUGCGCCGAAAACUGGGGGGCUAGAGUACUGGAUGGGAGAGUGGAAUUCCUGGUGUAGCGGUGAAAUGCGUAGAUAUCAGGAGGAACACCUGUGGUGUAGACGGCUCUCUGGACAGUAACUGACGCUGAGGCACGAAAGCGUGGGGAGCAAACAGG
rnacentral:rRNA from 1 species